rnacentral:rRNA from 1 species
GACGUACCGUGCGAACGUUAUUCGGAAUCACUGGGCUUAAAGCGCGUGUAGGCGGGGUGGCACGUCGGUCGCUGAAAGCCCCCGGCUCAACCGGGGAAGCGGCGCCGAUACGACCACCCUGGAGGGACGUAGGGGGACCUGGAACUUCCGGUGGAGCGGUGAAAUGCGUUGAGAUCGGAAGGAACGCCCGUGGCGAAAGCGAGGUCCUGGACGUUUACUGACGCUGAGACGCGAAAGCCAGGGGAGCGAACGGG